rnacentral:misc_RNA from 1 species
AACGCACAUUGCGCUUCCGGGAUAUGCCCGGUAGCAUACUUAUCUGAGUGUCUGUGAACACACCUCAGCAUCAACAGUACCAACUUGGUCUGAUAUGAUAGCUGGAAUAUGGGAAGUUGAUACAUCAUCUGAAUGUAUCUUUCCUUAAAUGUUAGCUUUAAUCCUCAUGUGAAUGAGGAAGAGAUUGAACAAAACUGGAUAACCAUGUUGUAUCUAGUCCUAUUCCUUCUCUCUGGUAAUGCUUCGGUAUUUAAAAGUGAGAUUUAAGACAAAAAGAUUGUGUGUUUAUUUGAUUUAUUGUCCCAAAGGGGAUUUAAGAUUAAGUAAGAUUACCCGCCGAAUUUAA